GAUGAACGCUGGCGGCGUGCCUAAUACAUGCAAGUCGAGCGAACAGACGAGGAGCUUGCUCCUUUGACGUUAGCGGCGGACGGGUGAGUAACACGUGGGUAACCUACCUAUAAGACUGGGAUAACUUCGGGAAACCGGAGCUAAUACCGGAUAAUAUUUCGAACCGCAUGGUUCGAUAGUGAAAGAUGGCUUUGCUAUCACUUAUAGAUGGACCUGCGCCGUAUUAGCUAGUUGGUAAGGUAACGGCUUAUCAAGGCAACGAUACGUAGCCGACCUGAGAGGGUGAUCGGCCACACUGGAACUGAGACACGGUCCAGACUCCUACGGGAGGCAGCAGUAGGGAAUCUUCCGCAAUGGGCGAAAGCCUGACGGAGCAACGCCGCGUGAGUGAUGAAGGUCUUCGGAUCGUAAAACUCUGUUAUUAGGGAAGAACAAACGUGUAAGUAACUGUGCACGUCUUGACGGUACCUAAUCAGAAAGCCACGGCUAACUACGUG
rnacentral:rRNA from 1 species